rnacentral:rRNA from 1 species
GACAGAGGAUGCAAGCGUUAUCCGGAAUGAUUGGGCGUAAAGCGUCUGUAGGUGGCUUUUCAAGUCCGCCGUCAAAUCCCAGGGCUCAACCCUGGACAGGCGGUGGAAACUACCAAGCUGGAGUACGGUAGGGGCAGAGGGAAUUUCCGGUGGAGCGGUGAAAUGCGUAGAUAUCGAGAGGAACACCAGUGGCGAAGGCGAGUCUCUGGACGACUCCUGACACUGAGGCACGAAAGCUAGGGGAGCAAACAGG